UUGAUUAGGCAACAUAUAUACUAAAAUUUGAAUGAUGCAGAGAAACUUAGCAUGGCCCUGUUCAAGGAUGACUUGCAGAUUCAUGAGCAUCCCGUGUUU
ensembl:snRNA Rnu6-1256 RNA, U6 small nuclear 1256